rnacentral:lncRNA from 1 species
GGCCUGUGUCUGGGGGAGGGGCCUUCCACAGGGCAGGGCAGCUAGAAGUCUAUCAGCCUAGCAGCUCCCAACACCCCGAGCUCCAGGGCACUCUUGCUCCAAAGAGUUUCCAUGUGCACAGGAGCAAAGCCUCCUGUUUCUUCCAGCCCAGGGGCCACAGAAAGUUUCCUGUAACAACCUCAUUCCACAGCCCUGCCAGCUACUCCUGACUGCCAACUUGGUGGGCUUUACAAUCACCAUGGAAACAAAGCCCUGCACAUGUCUGUGAGCCAGUAUCUAAAUAGGUUAAUUCCGGUGGGAAGACCCAUCCUAAGACCCAUUCCACCGGUUCAGGUCUCUGACUACAUAAGAUUAAGACAGCCAACUGGCACCAGCUUUCCUUUCGUUGUGCCUCCUGACUGUGGAUGCAAUGCGCCCGGCUGACUCAAGCUCCCGCUGCCACGCCCUUCCUGACUGUGGAUGCCAUGUGCCCGGCUGACUCAAGCUCCCGCUGCCACGCCCUUCCUGACUGUGGAUGCCAUGCACCCAUCUGACUCAAGAUCCUGCUGCCACACCCUUCCUGACUGUGGAUGCCAUGCUCCCGGCUGACUCAAGCUCCCACUGCCACGCCCUUCCUGACUGUGGAUGCCUUGUGCCCGGCUGACUCAAGGCUGACUCAAACUCCCGCUGCCACGCCCUUCCUGACUGUGGAUGCCAUGCUCCCGGCUGACUCAAGAUCCUGCUGCCACACCCUUCCUGACUGUGGAUGCCAUGCUCCCGGCUGACUCAAGCUCCCACUGCCACGCCCUUCCUGACUGUGGAUGCCAUGCUCCCGGCUGACUCAAGCUCCCGCUGCCACGCCCUUCCUGACUGUGGAUGCCAUGCUCCCGGCUGACUCAAGAUCCUGCUGCCACACCCUUCCUGACUGUGGAUGCCAUGCUCCCGGCUGACUCAAGCUCCCACUGCCACGCCCUUCCUGACUGUGGAUGCCAUGAGCCCAGAGUCAAAACCUGUCUUAACUCCGGUGAGCUGGUCUGUCAGGGGUUUUGUCCCUGACAACAGCAUGGCAAGUAGCCAACACAACAGCUCUGACUUAAAAACGGACGUUCUGAAGGCUGAAGGAGGAGUUCUGACUGCUUUCUACUCAAGUGCAGCGUGGUUAUACUCAGCUCUGCCCGACUGGGGAGGAGGGCUCCUGAAACAAAGCGAUCCUGAUUCACAGAAGGAAAUUGAAAAGCAGAUGGGAAAUGUUUGUUUGAUUCCACAAACAUGUCAGUGAGGUAUCACAAAGACAUGUGACCUAAAUUCUCCAGCAACAUUUGUGCCACCUCAGCUUUGACUGGUGUACAGAGGGAGUCACGAUGGUGACAGCUGCAGUCAAGACUGCAAAGCCUCAUUAACUCCAUCCUCCUGUAUUCCAAGUCUCCCGAGUCUGAGAACGCUGCUUUGUGUUUUGCUGUCUCUCCCGAGGAUGCCUUGUUCUCCGGCUCCACACCACGCUGCCUGCACUCCCACCUGCUCUGAGUCGGCUCGCCUGUUGGUCCCACAUCCCUUCUCUGCUGCAGUCAGGCUCUGCCUGGGCCCCUCCAUGAGAACUUUUCUCCCAUUGCCCUGUUCUCACAACGUGCUUGGUCUUUGCACACUCUUCCUCUCCGCCCCCUACAGAAGACUGUGCAAUGAGUAUGAUGGCUUUACCGGGACUAUCAACUUGAUGGGAUUUAGAAGGAACAUGGAAACAGGCUUCUGGACGUGUCUGUGCAGGAGUUUCUCUAUUAGGUUAGUUUACACGGGAAGACCAAAGCCGAGCGCCAGUGGCAUCUUUC